AAUAAAAUGGCUGAGGUUAAAUUAAGCGAUAAAUUGUAAAUUUAUUAACGAGAAAGUUCUCUUUUAUUA
rnacentral:tRNA from 1 species